rnacentral:tRNA from 1 species
CAGGGAGAAAACAAAAUGAUCNCNNCNUUAUUGUGCCACCUUAGGUCGAUCGGUAUCUCACGUUCUUAAUUUAUUAAGAAUUUCAUUUCCUAAGUUUUUCUAGGUCACACCCAUUAUUUUUCCUGGGCCAUUACCUCAGGUGGUUAGAGCGCACCCCUGAUAAGGGUGAGGUCCCUGGUUCAAGUCCAGGAUGGCCCAUAUCUCUAUGUUGGGGGUAUAGCUCAGUUGGUAGAGCGCCUGCUUUGCAAGCAGGAUGUCAGCGGUUCGAGUCCGCUUACCUCCACUGAUUACCACCUCUUCCAUAACCGGUAGUAAAGGAAAUGUUUUGAGUUGUGAUCAAAUUCUGAAAGAAUCUAGCUUCCUAAUGAAUUCAUUAAGAUGCUGGACUCAUUGAAUUAAUUUCAUUGUUUUCAGAGAACCUUGACAACUGCAUAGAUUAUUUUUAAAGACAAUAAGCAUCUUUAAUGAUGCAGAUUUAUUAUUUGUGCGAAUGCAUUAAUAACAAUUCUAUUAAGCUGAUGCUUCAAUUUUUGAAGUUAUU